rnacentral:lncRNA from 1 species
UACUCCAAGACCACCAUGUAUUAUUUGUGAAGUUGAUAAGGAAUAUGUAUCAAGAAUGUCUUGGUAUCUUAAAAUUAAUUUUAGCAAAAGACUCAUUAAUCAAUGACAAUCGAAAAAAAUGUGUAAAGGAAAAUCAAGUAGGAUGUUGUAUAGCAUUGCGCUAAAACACAAACAAACAACACAUGGUGCAGAUAGCAUGACUUGGUAGAUGCCCUACAUUUGAUCGGGUGUAGGUCCAUAAAUGUUUGUUUGACAUUUAAUAUAUUCUCAAAACACUUUCAAAUAUUUGAUUAUAUUACAUAUGGUGUAGACUUCUCCUGUUUUUAUUGGAUAUUACGAUCACGUGCUACAAAGGUUGUUUUAUAAAUCUGUUUCUAUUUUAAAGUGUAUUGAUGGUGUUAACAAUGCCAGAAGCACAACUGCAGAUAAAAAGAAAAUUUGCAAGUUUGUCAGAGGACAAUAUCUAUGGUAUGAUGUUAAAUGCUCACGCUAAAAUAUAUAUUCAAUCAAUUCAAUUGAAAUAUAUAUUGUCAUAUAAACUCUGAACAAUAAGUUUGUGACAAAUAAUAUAAACAUACACAAAAUACAUUUAACAAACAAAACUAUAAAAGCAUAAAAAGAAGAAUACAAGAA